UCAGGGCAUAGGAAACACAAGAGCCGCCGCAUUCUUGCAAUCGUAAGACGGCAGUGAGAGUGAACAGUACGCCAAUUCCAAUUCUAGGGUUAGCUAUAAAUAAAAGUUUCCCUUUCUUUGUCCUCUCUGGCUCUCCCUUACCAAGGCGCAAUCUUGGGACGAAAUAGAACCGUUACAACCCUAGACAGAGGAGAGAGCCUCCGAGUUCCAAAACCCUAGAAAAAUCUCGGAGGAGCUCCUCGCAAGAAUUCCAGGGAUGCCUCCAAAGGCUGCCAAAUCGAAGGACGCCGCCCCCGAGCGGCCGAUUCUGGGUCGGUUCUCGUCCCAUUUGAAGAUUGGAAUCGUUGGGUUACCAAAUGUUGGGAAGUCAACCCUUUUCAACACGCUUACAAAGUUGUCAAUCCCAGCAGAGAAUUUCCCUUUCUGUACCAUAGAACCCAAUGAGGCACGGACUAAUGUCCCUGAUGAGCGGUUUGAUUGGCUUUGUCAAUUAUACAAGCCAAAGAGCGAGGUAUCAGCUUUUUUAGAAAUUCAUGACAUAGCUGGACUUGUAAGAGGGGCUCAUGAGGGACAGGGUCUGGGAAACAACUUUCUAUCCCACAUACGUGCAGUUGAUGGCAUCUUUCAUGUAUUGAGAGCAUUUGAAGAUCCAGAAAUAAUUCAUGUCGAUGACUCUGUGGAUCCUGUUAGGGACUUGGAGACCAUAAGCGAGGAACUACGACUUAAGGAUGUAGAAUUUCUUGAGAGAAGGUUGGAGGAUCUUCAAAAGAGCAUGAAAAGGAGCAAUGACAAGCAGCUCAAAAUAGAACAUGAAUUAUGUGAGAAGGUUAAAGCAUGGCUAAAGGAUGGGAAAGAUGCUCGUGGAGGUGAUUGGAAAGCUGCUGAUGUUGAGAUCUUGAACACUCUUCAGUUACUUACUGCUAAACCUGUUGUCUAUUUGGUGAAUAUGAAUGAGAAGGACUAUCAAAGAAAGAAGAACAAGUUUCUACCGAAGAUACAUGCAUGGGUGCAGGAUCAUGGUGGUGAGCCUAUUAUUCCUUUCAGCUGUGUUCUGGAAAAGAAUCUUGUAGAUAUGCCAGAGGAUGAAGCUGCUAAAUACUGUGAGGAAAACAAAGUACAGAGUGCCAUCCCUAAAAUCAUAAAGACUGGUUUUGCUGCAAUCAAUCUUAUAUACUUUUUCACUGCUGGACCAGAUGAGGUGAAAUGUUGGCAGAUCAGACGGCAAACCAAAGCCCCUCAAGCUGCGGGUACCAUCCAUUCUGAUUUUGAAAAAGGUUUUAUAUGUGCUGAGGUAAUGAAGUUUGAAGAGCUAAAAGAACUGGGCAGUGAAGCUGCAGUCAAGGCUGCUGGGAAGUACCGGCAAGAAGGAAAGACCUAUGUUGUUCAGGAUGGUGACAUUAUCUUCUUCAAAUUCAAUGUUUCUGGUGGUGGGAAAAAGUGAAAACUUUUUUUUGAAGGUGAUUAACCCUCUCUAAGAUGCUUCUUAGUUGUGCUUUUGCUGUCAUGCAUUUGGAUUGCGUUUUCAUGUAUUCUGCUUCACUAGAUGGAGGCCAUUUAUGUUCUUAGGUGGGUCAAAAUGAAGUUGUACUUCCUGAGGCAAAUUCAAAAUUUCUUCCAGAAAAAAUUAGCGCUUUUGGAGUGCAUAUUUUUAGAUUGAAGACCCAGUUGCUUAUGAAGCAGUGUGACCUUAUAACCAGUGAAGAUGGGAAAAAGUUAGAUUUUAAGUACUUUUCCUGACUGACUGAUACUAAGCUUUAAGUAAGCAGUCCGAGUCUUCUUAGUGUUGUUUGUUGAUGGUAGCAAUUUGUUGCCAUUAAGAUUCCUGUCUUUGUUCGCACUCCAGCUCCUGCCCUCAUGUUUCCUAUUCCAACUAAGAAUGUAUGGAAUAUUAAACUUCUAUUAAUUUCAAUUGCAUCUCGUUCUUGUGCUA